CAUUCUCCUCUGUGAGCUCACCCCCCCCAUUCUCCUCUGUGAGCUCACCCCCCCAUUCUCCUCUGUGAGCUCAUCCCCACUUCUCCUCUGUGAGCUUUCCCCCCAUUCUCCUCUGUGAGCUCACUCUCGGCAGCCGCUCAUCCACUACUCAGCCAGGCUCAUCAAAGCUCCCAACACCCCUGAGCUGCUGAAGGCAAAGCCUCCUCUCCCGACUCACCAGGACUCGACCCUCCAGGGCACUCCAAGCUUCUCUACCGGUUCCGCUGUGGUGGCCCAUCUCGCCUGCUGCAGCAGUCUCCCUGAUGCAGGGAGCCCUACUCCAUUCUCCAUGAACUCCAGGGCCUGGCAAUUCACAGGUGUUCUCUAAACAUGAGAGAAUGGAUGCUGUGAGACCAUCGCACAGUGAAUCAGGGGACAAGUGUUCCCUUUCACAAGAAAGGUGAAAGAGAAAAGCCCCACUUCAAGCCACCUGACUGCCCCAGAGAUGAGUGCGGCUGGCUGGCCCUAGUCCCUCGGGAAGCUCCUCACCCUCACAGGACUAUGUGUACACCCAUGCUUUCUUAAAAAAACUACACAUGAACCAUGA